rnacentral:lncRNA from 1 species
CAUUCAAUUUCUCCAGGGUCCUGACAAAGGGCCUCUUUCCCUUGCUCAUUUUUUUUUUGAGGAAGAUUAGCCCUGAGCCAACAUCUGCCACCAAUCCUUCUCUUUUUGCUGAGGAAGACUGGCCCUGAACUAACAUCCAUGCCUAUCUUCCCCUACUUUAUAAGUGGGACACCUGCCAUAGCAUGGCUUGAUGAGCAGUGCAUAGGUCCGCACCUAGGAUCGGAACCGGCAAACCCUGGGCCACCAAAGCGGAGCGCUAACUUAACUGCUGUGCCACUGACUGGCCCCCUUCCCUCGCUCAUUCAAUUAGGCAAGAUAAGGAAGCCAUGGGCUAUUCCUUUCCCUUCUUUCUUUUCUUGCUUAAACGGUUUUUUUAGAAUGGAUUUUAUUUGCAAAUAUUAGCAUCAUGUCUAUUUUUGCGUUAGCUUGCAAUGUCUAAAUUAAUGGUAUCAUCCAGUCCAUUGCUUCUUAAUUUCAGAAGCAAAAUCGUGAGGGUUUCUAUGUAAGGAAGCUGGAGAGGAGGCUGCAUGCGUGGAAUGCACUUGGCCCAGGUCUUCCAUGAGUAUUCUGUCUGAAUUCGCUGCCAUCCUGAAAGAAGUGCUUCCCUCCUCCUCUGGUCCUCCUGGUGAUGGGAGAGGAAGGGAUUCCUCCUAUUUUCUGCAGCUGUUUACUUAGGCAGCCAUCAAUAAUUCAGGACAUCAGCUCCUUCCUGAAAGCCCAGGUGAGGGCAAAGGGCCUAGCCCAGGCCAGCAGCUCAUUUGCUCCAUCCUGCAAGACUCAGCUGAUAUCCCGCAGGCUCCUGGCUGGCCAGACCACAGCUGUGCUUGGAGAGGAGAACAAGGUAAGCUUUGACUUUGGAGUUGAGAUCUGGUUUUGUUUUCUCCCUUAGCUACUUCCCCAGCUCUCCUUAGUCUAUGAGAAUGCCAGAGGCCACAUCUGGGGCGGAGACCCUUCUAUCUCUUCUGAGUAGCAGCAUGCUACCCACAGAAGGCUGGGAUCCCAGCCUCAGACUCCAGCUUCUCACACCAGACCAGUGAAACAGGCUUUUCUGAAGAGAAGCAGCACAAUGCAAAUAUUUGAAUCUCUCUUCAUUUUCCUCUCCCUCCAAGCAAGGCACAGAAGUCAUGGUUUAAAGCAGAAGAGGGUGAAAGAGCCUUCCUUUGGAGUAAAUACAGCCAGACAAGAAGGGUCGCUGCCCACUACACCCAUUUGGGGGGCCACUGCAGUAGAACGCUGUGUCUGACUUGGUCCCUGGGUGUGGUUGCUGCAUCUUGCUCAUCUCCCCAUGGCUAAUGCUUAACACAAAUCCUGGACUGUGACUUGAAAACGGACACCUUCUUCCUAAUAUAAUCCAGCCCACGAAAUAUUCCUCUGAGUCAGCAAUCUCUUGACCGAGGGGAACAUGCUACAGAUCCUGGGAAAGAGAGUGAAGGAAAUUAGCAAAUGGCAGCUUCCUGCACUUUGCCACAAACAAUAACAAAACCCGUCAAAGGAGCAGAAUAUGGCAGUCAAUAUGGAUUUUCUCAUUCCUGUCAAUCAAAGGGCUUUCAAACACAGGAGAUGCUCCCACUCUGUGCUCACUGUUGGUUUGGGUAGAAGGCCAGGGGGUCUCUCUAAAGAUGUUAAGCAUUUAACACAUGGUGCAGGAGGCCCUGCCUGUGUGCUUGCUAGGAGAGGGCCUAUCUCUCUCAAAUGUGUAGGAUCACUAGGAAUUUGCACAAGAACUUUUGUCUGCUGUGUUUGCUAAGGCACAGCACAAUACUGAUGAGGCAGUAGAUAAUUUACGGGGUUUUUUAAAAAAACAAAUUCUUCUGAGUAGAGUAUAAAUUAUAGUAGUUUAACGUGUCCAUAAUAUAGAACACGCUGCAUGUGUGGAGAAGAGGAGUAAGUUAGGGAAAAUAGAAACUGCUUUAUUAAGACGGAAUUUCACUGUAUUUUACAGCAUAAUACUAAUUCCCAACAACCAGGAUAGAUUCUUUUCAUAGUGAACAAAGUUCAUAAGAAAACUAUGUGAAUAUUCUCUGGAGACCCUAAAGACAGAGAGAAAUUGAAUAAAAAUAAAUCAGCUUGAAAAUCCAUGAAUGUUUCUGCAGAGUAUCAGGACAUCAGCAGUUGGGAAACUAACGCAUUCAAAUUAUUAUUACUACUUUGUAUUAGAGCAGCUAUUUAAUUGUCACCAAUGAGAGGAAAGUGGUGUAUUUUUCAGUUUGGCAUUUUCAGAACUGUCAGUGAUCAGAUAAAUAAAUAAAUAUGCAAGCGAAUUAUUUUUAUCUCUUCCUGUUUUAGCUAAGUAGCCGGUCAAUGGUCUUUAAUAGAUUUUAUUUCUAAAAGCCACACUUAAGAAAGGAAGGUCAACAGAUGAAAAGGAUCCAGCCUCUUGGG